AUUUUUUUUGAGGAGAAGAUACUGGCCAAAGCAAUGCCAUUGAUUCAGCAAGAAGUGGGCAUUACAAACUCCUUCCACAGAAGGUCCUUGUUCUGAUAUAACACGAAUGGCAUUUACAUGACACAAAGCUAAACAAGGAGAAACCCAAUGAAGAGGUUGGCAUAUAGACCAUAUCUAACGAAAAGAUACUUCACAAUCCUGGGAAAAUUUCAAAAUGAAAUGACCAACCGACGCAAGCAACAAGAGUAUGCUUUGGGACUUGUUAUGGUGUCAUAUUCGCAUAUUCCAGUUCUGACCUAACUCCUAUGCCCAGGAACGGGAACUGCAGGUGUAAAUGGUCUCAAAGAAUUCCUAAAAUCUAGAACAUGUUGAAAA